rnacentral:rRNA from 1 species
GAUCAUGGCUCAGGAUGAACGCUGGCGGCGUGCUUAACACAUGCAAGUCAAACGGAACGCCAAGGAAAGAGUUUUCGGACAAUGGAAUUGGUUGUUUAGUGGCGGACGGGUGAGUAACGCGUGAGUAACCUGCCUUGGAGUGGGGAAUAACACAGUGAAAACUGUGCUAAUACCGCAUGAUAUAUUGGUGUCGCAUGGCACUGAUAUCAAAGAUUUAUCGCU